rnacentral:lncRNA from 1 species
UUUGAUUGUUUUUAGGAGAAGAGACAAGUUGUCAUCUUAAGUUAAAACUCCUUUAAUCCACCACAAACAUGAUGACGAUAGAUCUUUGCUUCACAAUAGGGAAGGGCUCUAACUUGGAUAUCAAAUCAACAAGUAUGCCACUAACUCUCCUAGGUGGAAAAGAAUCAAUAUCUUUUGAUUAAAUGUUAUGGGGAUUUUGAGUUUUCAACCAUAGAUGACUCAUGUCUAAACUCUUUGAGAAAAGUUUUAAAGU